rnacentral:rRNA from 1 species
GAACGAACGCUGGCGGCAUGCCUAACACAUGCAAGUCGAACGAGACCUUCGGGUCUAGUGGCGCACGGGUGCGUAACGCGUGGGAACCUGCCCUUAGGUUCGGAAUAACUCCCCGAAAGGGGUGCUAAUACCGGAUAAUGUCUUCGGGCCAAAGAUUUAUCGCCUUUGGAUGGGCCCGCGUUGGAUUAGCUAGUUGGUAGGGUAAAAGCCUACCAAGGCGACGAUCCAUAGCUGGUCUGAGAGGAUGAUCAGCCACACUGGGACUGAGACACGGCCCAGACUCCUACGGGAGGCAGCAGUGGGGAAUAUUGGACAAUGGGCGAAAGCCUGAUCCAGCAAUGCCGCGUGAGUGAUGAAGGCCUUAGGGUUGUAAAGCUCUUUUACCCGGGAUGAUAAUGACAGUACCGGGAGAAUAAGCUCCGGCUAACUCCGUG